CGCUGUUGGAUUGUGUUUAA
rnacentral:miRNA from 1 species